AAGCAGUUUCACAAUUGUGUAGACCAAGUUAUUGAACAACUAAUUUGAUAAAAUAAACUGAAACAUAACGACCUUUACAGUACCCCCAACGAGCUGCACACAGCUCGAAAUUUUACUCAAUGAUAGAUAGGUGAUAAUAAUGUGGGAAAUAUUUAGCACCAUCAUUACAAACAUCAUUAAAAUUUAAAUAGAUGUGUUUAACAUGGAAAAACCCAUGUAUGAAAGUAUUUUUUUUUUUUUUUCGGGACACAUGCAAACGAACCACUGGGAAAGGAAAUCAUGCCGUGAAAAUUCCAAGAAAUAGCACAUGCCGGGUAACAGGGUAACAGGUAGGUCUAGGGCUAGGGGUAGGAGUAGGGUUAGGACCAAAGGCAGUGGCAGGGCUUGUCAUUGAACCUGCUCAAGCAGCGUUGCGCCGAUUCAUCAAUUAACGCCCCGCGCGGUGGCAAAGAGCGAGCUCUUCGACUCGGACUUGGAGUUGGAGUUCGGGUAGGAGUGAUGCAGGGCGGUGCGGUGCGGUGCGGUGUGGCGGAGUGUCGAGAGGCGGUCACAUCAUUAAACGCUGCGUCCAAGUUGUGGACAAAUAAAUGCAUUUCCGUUGCGCACAAACAAAUUUCCAAGAGAAGCCGACGACAGCAGAAAACAACAACAACAACAACAACAACAAUGACGAAAAGAAUCUCAACUGCAUUUUUUACCUACCGCGCAGCGCGCGCGUUCGCUCUGCCGCGUUUUAGGCGAAGAAAAAACAACGAGGCGCAGAACGGUUAAAAAAGAAAAACAUGGUCAACAACAAAGCUGAACAAGUGUACCGCUUGCCGAUCGUCAGUCGUCAGACGAAAAACCCAGAGCCAGGUUCGACAGUUUUUGGUCAAUUGCUUCACUCGAUCUUUCUGCCGGGCUCGCAGAGCUGAAACCUUGGCUAACCCGGCUCUCGGUCUCGGUCUCUGUCUCGGGCUCGGGCACCGCCAUUGAUUUCCACUUAACGCUUCAAAACUCAAGUGGCCAUUUCAAGUUUACAGUUUAAGUAAGCAGCAGGGGCAUGCCAGGUGGGAUGGGGGCGCUGGCCCGUUCCCUGUGGCCACUUCUUCUUCUUGACUUUUCUUUCGUUUCUCUGUUUCAAUAUUAUUGUUUCCCACAGUGCCCAGAAAAUAUUUAAGCGCCAAUUUCAUAUAGUUUUUCUCCAUUCUCAAAGAAAACUCAUUCCCAUUGCCGUGUCCGAGUCCAGCCGCCUCACUACCGUUCCACGCUCAAGUGCCGCCCUCUGUCGCUCUCUCUUUCUCUCCCUCUACCGCUCUCCCUCUCCCUUUGUCAGCCCCUCGCUCUUGCUGCUUGAAUUUAAAUAACAAUGGGGCUUGCUUUUGAACUUCGGCUUGGCUUCAAAGCGCUGCCCUCUUGUUUGCUUUCAAUGGGCUUCGAUCUUCACUUUUCGUAUUCGUUUUCCUAUUGGUAAUGAGCGUUCGCGUUUUCAAUCUGGCAGGAGCUGCAUUGUCAGCAAUUACGCACUUCACUCCAAAAGCAACUGACAAAGGAGCUGAACUCUCAGCUAGUCAAUGCAUUGAAAUCAAAAGUUCUUAGAAUUUUUCUUCUACGUUUUUUGGUUUCUUUUUUUUUUUUGGGCGUGAGAAAUAAUUUAUUUGUAUUAAUCUCAGACAAAGUUAACUCGCAUGUGCCUAACUAAUUUACAAAUACGUUUUCUUAGAGCUUGUAUUAUCAUUUUCUGUGACUUAUGUGACUUGAGUCUCUGAGCGUCGAACAAGCAAGCGAGAAGUCGCCGUUUCAAUUUCAGCAGGAAUAGUCAAUUUCUAUAUAUGUCUAUUUUCUCUUUCUCUGUGAAUUUCUUCAAUCAAAGUCAAUCAAAAAAUACUUGAAUGAUCUUAAAAAAUAUAUAUAUACAAAUAGAAUUCACUCUCAUUCUACUUCUCAAGCACAUGAAUCAGCUUCUAUUCCGAGAAACUCUUUCAAUCACGAACAUUUAAAAAAAUAAUCACAUAGCAUCUAUAAAACUCCACAAAUUCUUUCAUAUGCACAUUUUAUUAGGUAUUAACUAAACAUACUUCACAUAUAAUAUCAACCUUAAGAUACUUUAUAUUAUCAAAGAUCUCCGAUAGCAUUUUUAAUAUCAAAUAUUAAAUAUAUUUGACAUGCGAUCCCCGAAAAAAAAAAACGAUGCCUAUCCCAAUGAAACUAGUGGCAGCUGCUGCUUUAUGGCCGAUCAAUAAAAAUUCGACAACCACAUGAUAAUCUGUUGGAUGAUCUGAAGCUUAGUCAUACUAGCCACACUCCAAGCCAUUAAAUAGCGCAUUUUACGAGUCGCAGACCAGACCAGAACCAGACCAGAAAGAUAACUCGUGUAUGAUAUGAAAGAAAUGCCGCUUUCAUGGCUGACAGAUAAAACAAAACGCCGCCGAUCGACGCUGAUCAACGGCGCAAUAAAUUCAUCAAAUAAAUAUCGCUCCCAGAAAGAGAGAGAGAGUGAGAGAGAGAGGGAGAAGAGAGAGAGAGUAAGAUGGUUUUAAGCUGUUCGGCUUAGCCGACUUUGCGUUAUAAUCGACAUGAAUAUUAAAACCACAAAACUAUAAUCAGUGCGAUAUGAUCGUCGGCCGUGCCCCGGAAAACAUAUCAAUCUCAUGUGGAACAGAGCUGAUCGCAUCAGCCACCGUUGUGGACCCUUUUUGUAUUUUAUUUUGAGCCAUUAACUGGCUGCAGACGACCUAAUGGACAUGAUCUUUCGUCACUCCCAGCAACAACAAAAAGGCAAUGCAACGAAUUUUUUUUAUAUUUCUAAACAUGCGAUCGUCUCUCUCGCACACGCACUCUCCCUCUCUUUCUUCCUCUCUCUCUCUCUCUCUCUCUCUCUCUCUCUCUCUCCUGCCCUUUUUUUUAUAAAUCAACGAGCUCUAAAAACGAACCCGACAACCGGCUACAACGAGGAUCGUUAGAGCAUUCGGCCUGAUCUUGAUCUUGUGGCCCGAGAACGCGUCGUCUGCCGCCUGUUCUUGAUCCCUUAAAUACCCUUUAAAUUGUACAUAAUACCCAGCACGGCAUUUAUCAUCAUUAUUAUCGAACACACAGACUGGUGUUCAGCAGAGACUCGGUGGACACUUCAACUUCCAUGAAUAAUUUGUGCUGCGAUGAGAUAGAAAUUUUUCAUUUACGUGUGUGGGAAAUAAAAUAUAUCAAUAGAUAAAACUGUUUAAAAAACAAAAAGAAGUUGCAUUUAUGGAGCUGCUUCUCAUCUGCUAUUAUAUGGUGAAAAUUAGAAAAAAUGAAGAGGCGGCAAAUAGAGGCUAUCAUGCUGAUAGAGUAUAUGGAAAAAUAUCCGAGUUUUGAAGGAUUGCUAAAUUUAAGAAACUGAUUGAAGACAGAAGAAACUUAAAACAAAGGAAGUUUGAGAUGUUUAUGUAAAGAAUUGCAGCAAAGAUUUUGUGGGUGGCAAAAUAUUACAAAUAUGCAAACUCUACAGUUAUUUUAAUUCAUAAAAAUAUAUUUGAUGAAGAACAACGGAAAGUGUGUAUAUUAUUUCCCCCCGAAACUGGGGUUUUCCCCAAAUCUUCAUACAACACCUUUAUAAAUUCUUCUAUGCCUACGUAUUAUUUGAUUUGAAAUCGAAAAAAACUUUCACUAAAUCCAAACAAUUUCCAAGAAUUGGCCAAGAAUGACAAAGAAAUUUGUUCAACAAGCACAGGAAAUGUCGCAACUGAUGGCGCCAGCAAUUCGGAAAAAAAAAACAAAACGAAAAAUAGGAAAAACUAAAUGUUAUACACAUGUACGCUAAGUUUUAUAUCUAGUAUUUAUGUGCUUGAGAUUGGCCAAGAUCUGGACAGCUGUCAGGUCGGGUUUUGGCAGCGCCGAUAAUGCCGCAGAACGGAAAUGCAUUAAUUUGUCAGUUGGCUUGUGCCGCACGAAUAAAUCAAUUCAUUUACAAGGUGGCCAUGCCUUAAAAUCAACGGGCAGGAAUUCCCCUCGCUGCCUCCACCCACAACCGAACUACUACUGCUUACAGAAGGGAAGACACGUUCCGUUCUGGUAUUUUCUCUUUACUUUUUUUCAAACAGGCACUUUCCAAUUACGUAAAGUCGACAUCGCGUGCAGCCAUGCAAAUUCUGAGUUCUGGGCUUAAGUUCGGAGUUUUCGUACACGUAAGAGACUCUAUACUACCGUAUAAUGAGCUUCUGCUGUUGCAUGACUUGAACUUGGCCCGGGUCUCGGGUCUCGGUCUUGGCCGGGUCUUUUUUGUGCACUUCAAACACUUUGUCCCUACCGCCUCCUUGCCAUGCAAAUGAAGCUUUUAAUCAUACGAAUAUCAUAAAGAAGCGAAAAACUUGUGUAUUUAGGCAGUUGUUAAUGUGCUGAGGCGGACGUAGGGCGUCGGUUUUUCGAUUUUUUGGGCUUCUUUUUUUUUAGUUUUUUUCGUUAUUUUUUUUUUAUUUGGUUAACAAAAAUUGCGUGUCUGUCGAUUGUACGGGGCACAUUUUGUUGCACGCGACGCCUUCGUUAUAUCUGUUAGAUGUCUGCCCCAGCUGAUGGCGCAGCUCCAGGUGUGCCAGUGUUGAGCAAUGCGGCACGUUGGCGCGUUCAGUUGAACCAGUGAUCACAGUUUACACAAUUGUUACCAAGAAGUUUUGGGAGGCAUUUAAAAGUUAUUUCCUAUAUAGUUGUAACCCUGAAUAUGCUUAAGUAUUAAAUUGUGCUCUUCGAUUUAGUUGCUUGGGAACAUACAAAUAAAACUGUAAGCCGAAGAUAUAUUGUAAAAUUUAUUUUUUUUUUGUUGGCUAUUUUAAGAAAAUGUUGACAAAGGUUAAAAAGAAACAGUCACAAGAGCACAUUUUAUAAUUCCCAAAGAGUUUUAGCACUAAUAUGGCUAAGUAAGCUAGACAACAGAUGUCACGAUUUCGUUUGCAAGCCUCAACUUGCAUUCACUGUGAACACACACGCCUGGCAUCACUGUCCAUGCCCGUAU